rnacentral:rRNA from 1 species
UACAGAGGGUGCGAGCGUUAAUCGGAAUUACUGGGCGUAAAGCGUGCGUAGACGGUUACAUAAGUCGGGUGUGAAAGCCCCGGGCUCAACCUGGGAAUUGCAUUCGAGACUGCGUAGCUAGGGUGCGGAAGAGGGAAGCGGAAUUUCCGGUGUAGCGGUGAAAUGCGUAGAGAUCGGGCGGAACACCAGCGGCGAAGGCGGCAUCCUGGCCCUGACCUGACGCUGAGGCGCGAGAGCGUGGGGAGCAAACCGG